rnacentral:lncRNA from 1 species
GGUUUGGUUAAGGCAGUAGUUCUCAACUAGGGGUUUUACUCUCCAGGGGACAUUGCUGUUGAGACAUUUUGGAUGUUGUGACUGGGAGGGUGAGCUGUGUUGCUGCUGCAUAUAGCUGGUAGAGCCAGAGAUGUUGUGAACAGCCUACAAUGUCUAAGAUGAUGCUCACAACAAAGAAUAAUCUAGUUCAAAAUGUCAGUAGGGCUGCUGUUGAGAACUCUGGGUUAGGAGAGUUGGAAGAGUGUCCUGGGAAAGGAGAAGAAAAAGAGAGACCAAUGAAUGGACACAUGCUCAUGCAGAGAGGCUUAUUCUGGGUCCUGGAGUGCAAGCUUGGAACCCUAGCCUUGCUGGGCCUCAGAUGGUAAGAGCCUGAUCAUCCUCCUGGGGCGAAAGAGGGAAGCUCUUCUUUUCUAGCCAGGCCUGAAAGGAUUUGCUGUUAAAAAAGGCUGAGUGCCCUCCACAAUCCAGUCCUAGGCUUAUCAUCUCCUACCCUCCUCCUUGAAACCUAGCCAGCAGCCAACUGUAACCAUUAUGUGCUAGGCACUCUGAUUGACACUGGGGCUCUGGACAUGAGUGAGAUACUAUGUACCCACCAGCAGCCCCACAUCUUAUUAGAGAAGCAGCUGGCAGUGUAAGAAGUGCUCUAGAGGGAUAUCCACAGCUCUCCUGGAGUCCAGGCUGGAAAGCAUCAAGCUAGGGACAGGUAAGGAGUGGGAAUUAACUAACUUGGAAUGGGUAGAAGGGCUGGGGACCCAGUAGACAUUUCAGACAGAGGAAAUAGCCACAUAGAAAGGUGGAAUUACAAGACUGCAUGGCAGGUUUAGAGUAGCUUCAGGCAAUUCAGAACACCAGCUGCUUUUCCAAUAGGAGGCAGUAGAAAUAGCUGGAGAAAGAAGGAGAAGGUUGACGUCUCCUGUUAUAAUUUCUCAAAAAUUAUGGGCAGCUGGCUCCAGCCUUUCCAUGACCCUUGGGUGCCAGCAGCUGGGAGGUAACACCUUUGACAAUUAGGGAACCAGCCCAGCUGGUCCUUCACCAGAUGGGCCUUAAAAUUCUUUGACAAGUAAUCCAAGCCUCUGCUGCAUUCAUCUUCCUCGGUGGUCUGAGGACCAGCUUUCCAGCUUCCUCCAAGAAGUCUGAAUUCCAGAUGCUCAGAACUUCUCCCCAAGCUCUCUGGUCCUGGAAACAUCAUCUUUUCCUUGAGGUUCUUCAUUCUGAGGAGCUGUGGUUUGCUUCCUGCAGUUCUUACUCUCUGGGUUAUUGUCCUUUUUCCCUUUUUGCACUUUCAGCCUUCCAGCACUUGUGUGACCAGUUCCUGGUACGAAGUAUUCUCUGUUUAAAAAACGUAACGUGGAGCUCCUGUCUUGGUGCAGUGGUUAACGAAUCCGACUAGGAACCGUGAGGUUGCGCAUUCGAUCCCUUGCCUUGCUCAGUGGGUUAACGAUCCGGUGUUGCCUUGAGCUGUGGCGUAGGUUGCAGACGCGGCUCGGAUCCCACGUUGCAGUGGCUCUGGCGUAGGCCGGCGGCUACAGCUCCGAUUCGAUCCCUAGCCUGGGAACCUCUGUAUGCUGCGGGAGUGGCCCAAGAAAUGGCAAAAAGACAAAAAAAAAAAAAACGUAACAUGACCUGAACAGACCUGGACAGUUACUUCAUGUUCAUGACUAUUUCUCUGUAGGGAAAGGUGAGUCUUUGGAGGUAUUUAGGCAGAAAACCAACUCCUUGUCACACACCUUAUUUUAUAUAAUCUUCUGGCAACAUUUGACUCUGUGGUGUGGAUAAAUUUUCCUUCCUUUAAACAUUAUAUCACUUUGGCUUCUACAAUACACUUUCAUGGUUCCUCAAUAGCUUGAAUAGAUACAUGCAGGAGGCAGUGGAAUGAAUGGUUUGACUUUGUUACUUGUGGUGCCUCAGGCAGGGUGUGAUGGUUUUGGUCCUCACAGACUUGAGUUCUGCUGUGUGAGAGGCCCUGAUUCCCAUGGCAAUGGGAGGUGCCCCUUCCAGGGCACGACUCUGCAGUCUUCUGAAUUGGAAGCUGCGAGGGCCACCUGGCCACAUUGAGCUCCUUGUGCACAUAAUCCGUGCAGUAAAUAAAGGAAUUAACUCUAUUGGUUUUCCUAGUGGAUCCUGAUUACAGUGAGGGGCUAGUAUUGCUGCUUCACAAUAGGGGGAUUGGAAAGAGUGUGUUUGAAAAUCAGAGAAUUCAUUGAAUGUAUUCAAGCCUCUAAAUCAGGAAUUGGCAAAUGUUUUCUUGAAGGGGCAAACAGUAAAUAUUUUUAGCUUUGCAGGCAAUAUGGUCUCUGUCAUAACAAUUCGACUCUACUGAUGUAGCUGUUGUAGACAAUACAUAAAUGAGUAUGGCUGUGUUAAAAAAAAAGUUGAUAUGAAAACAAAGGAGGAAGAACUUCUAUAUAUUAAAAAAUAUCUAAGAAAUGUACUAAUAUAAUGCAAUAAGUGGACCUUUAAUCAUUACAAAAAAUUUAUAUUAUCAGGAAAAAUCAAAGAGAUUGGGAAUUACAUGGCAUUGAAGAAUUGAAAAAAAUUUAUUUGGCGUGAUAAUGGUAUUGUGGCUACAUUAAAGUCAUAUAUAGUGAGGAAUUGAUAGUAAAAUAAUGCAAGAUCUGGAUUUGCUUUAAUACAGUCCAGCCCCCAACACACAAAAAAAUUGUGUGUGUGUGUUGUGUAUGGGGGUAGACAUUGAGGAAAUAAUAAUAGUGGCAAAAUGCUGACAUUAGUUGAAACUGGUUGUUAGUACUUAAGGUUUCAUUUUACUGUUUUCUCUGCUUCUGUGAAUGUAUGAAAAAUUCCAUAAUGAAGACUUUAAAGACAGUGAAAAAUAAAAUAAAUAAAUAAAUAAAAAGGCCAAGUGGGAGUUACUGAUGUGACACAGUGGGUUAAGGAUCUGACAUUGCUGCAGCUGUGGUGUAGGUUGCAGCUGCAGCUUGGUAAAAAAAAGGCUGAGUAUAGUUUGAAAGGGUCUCCUUUGCCUCUCUGUGUAGUUUUUCUAUAUUUAAAUUUCAACUAUUCAAUUCCUUCUUCAACAGAGGAAGCCUUUCAUUCCAUUAAUGAAAUAAAGAGCUAAAUUGAAGAUGACAUUUUACUGGGAAAGAGUGUCAAAUGUAACAAGCCAUGGAAGAGAAAUGGCUCUUAUUAAAUCCCUUUGGUUUUUAAUUUGGAAAAAAAGAGUAGAUCUCUGAAGGCUUUAAGUUGGUAAUGGCUCCUGGCAGAGCACAGAGACAGGUACGAAAGAAGAGGCUUCACGGUGAGUUUCCUAGGGAAGUUCCUGUUUCCUUGGAACUUGUGUGGGAAAGUGAAGUUAUGAUCAGACGCAGCUUUGAAAUAAGUAACUUGAAAAAGAAACUGGCAUGGGUGUAGGAGAAUUUUUUUUCCUCUUGACACAUUUGUGUUAAUGAGUUGAAUGGCAAAAGGUGAUUAACAUUCCAGACUAGUAGAGUCCAGAUAGAUCUUCAAACAGUAUUUUUUACCUGUGUUUAAAUUGUCCAGGCUUCCACCUUUCCUUAGGCAGACUGAGGGAGGAAAACAGCUUUGGAGUCUGCACUGAGGGACAAGCAAAUCCACAACUUGAAAGUCAAUCCUUUUCUUGGAAUAUUCCAACUCCAGAGUAAUGUUUCCAUUUAGCUUCUUAAAAGCAUGUUUUGAGGGGUUUCUUUGUGCCAAGAUAACGGUUGUGAAGACGUACGAUACAGUUCCUGAAAUCAAGGAGCUUAUAAUUUAACUAAAUGUUAAACAGAGUAAAACAUGAUUAAGUCCUUGUAAAAGAAGCCUAAGAAGGGAGGGCAACAGGAGCAGAGGGAUGGGGCAUUGGCUCUAAACUCUUGACUAUGGGAUUUGGGAUAAAUGGGGGAGGGGGUUGAGGAAGCACAGAGGAACAGCAUUUUAGAGUUGAGAAAACACAGUGCCACAGGGUCUUUGUGGCAAUUUCUAUAGGGGAAGGACCAUAGAGGGUAUGUCUGGAAAGGGGAAUGGGUGAUGUGGUGGGAAUAGGUGGGAAAGGUAGGUUGGGGAAGAUGGUUGAGGGCAUUGCGGGCUGAGGGAUUGGGCUGAAUUCUAUGGGUAAUAGCCAAGGGAGGUUUUUGUGUAGAUGAGUGGUAGGAUCACAUUUGCAUUUUGAUGUGAUUUGACUGUAGUGAAGAUGUGGCGGGCUGGAGUGGAGGGGAAGCGGAGGAAGGAGAAGGCCAGAGGCUCUGACAAAAACGUUAUCCUGGCAUUUCAUAGCAUCUCUUUAGGAUGCAGGUUCAUGCUAAAACUUAUACUCCCUUAGAAUUAUCCUCCUUAAAUCUAAAGUCUCAUGUUUACAAUUUAACUUUUAACCCUUAGGUAUUAUUUAAAUUUCUCUUUGUAUCUAUUUUCUGCUCAUUGGCUAAGGAACCUCCCUUCCAGCCCGGAGAACAUGAAUUUCACUGUAAUUAAGGUGUCUAGUGGUUUAGGGUGAUUAUUGUUUCUUGUUUGUUGUUUUGUUUUUGAGAAUCCAUCCUUGCCCUUUGUGACCCAGUCAAGGACAUAAUCUUAGCUUUAAUCUCCAGAGAUAAUACUUUGUAUGUCCUGUGAGUAUUGAUUUCAGAAAGGGCCCUGAGCUAGAUACUCAUGUAGGGGUUAAUUUUUCUACUGUAAAGAAAAUUAUAUGAUGGAAAUUAAACUUAUUACUCUCUUGGACUAAAUGAUCAAGGGUCCUUCAUGAUGGGGCUGUAACUCUCCAUCUUUUAUCUUGUCCCAGAAAUUUCUGAAAAUCAUUUAGUUAAAAGAAAUGGGAGUUCCCGUAGUGGCUCAGUGGUAAUGAACCUGACUAGUAACCAUGAGGAUGCAGGUUUGAUCCCUGGCCUCUUUCAGUGGGUUAAGGAUCUGGCGUUGCCAUGAGCUAUGGUGUAGGUUG